UGGGGAAUAUUGGACAAUGGGCGCAAGCCUGAUCCAGCCAUGCCGCGUGCAGGAAGAAGGCCUUCUGGGUUGUAAACUGCUUUUAUCUGGGAAUAAAAAACCCGUGCGCGGGGAACUGAAGGUACCAGAUGAAUAAGCCACGGCUAACUCCGUGCCAGCAGCCGCGGUAAUACGGAGGGUGCGAGCGUUACCCGGAUUUACUGGGUGUAAAGGGCGUGGAGGCGGUGUCUCAAGUCCGAUGCUAAAGAC
rnacentral:rRNA from 1 species